CGGCGAAAGAUUUCGGUAUUUCACUGUCAAAAGCUGACCGUUCACUUCACCAAGAGGUGGUCUUCAUUCUCUGUUCC